rnacentral:lncRNA from 1 species
AUUUCAGUGAGGGGGGUAGGUAAUGUUUUUUGGCCAUAUGCAGGAACACUGUUGUAUUUGAAGACGUUAAAUGAAGAUAUGGCUUUCAGAAGUGCUUGCACAAGGGAAGACGUGAGCAAGCUUCCUGUUUAGCACCUGGAGCAGAUGCCUUCACUCUUCCGUUUCUUGAAGUAGGUGGAGGUGGAGCGAAACAAUCGAGCAGACUCUGCACAAUCUGCUACUGUUCACCGCACCCAACCUGUCAUGUGGCGCUCCUCGGCAUUCGACCGCACAGAUCUCCGUGCACGUUUGUGUGCGCCGUUUUGUUAUUGCAUGUUGUAGUCGGUUGCUGGUACAGUUGGAGAUUGGCGCGUGGACUGCCGCGUGUUUUAUCUCUAGUCAGAGCCACUCGAGUGAGUCUGACGGUGCUCAGGCCCUUUGCUGUGCCACAUGGAUAGAAUGUCUAGCGGGAUGCUAUGGGUUCUCGGUGUCCUCCUGUGUCUGUGUGUGUUUUGCCAAGGUCGAGCAGAGACUUCCGUUGGCUGUACAGUCUGUGUGAAAGCGUCGGUGCUGUGCCCCACCAUGAAGCGUGAGGAGAAGACUCAUAAACUCCUGAAGAAUGGACAGCAGCUGCAUUUGGUGAACUACCACAGCAAACAGAACCAGUCCCGGAAGGUCCUCGACAACAGCGAGGUUAGCCAGCAUUAUAUGAACCAAUCGGAUAAGAGCUCUUACUUUGAGAUCUCCCAGCUGAACCUCAACUCUUCUGGGCUGUAUACCUGCGAGGUCUGCGCCAUCUACCCACCACCGAUCUCUUGUAAAGAGAACUCAACAGCUGUCGUGUUCACUGAGCACACCUGUCCUGCCGAGGACCCCCCCUGUCCGGGGAACGCCAGCUCCCCCACCUCCCCACCCAAGAUCAGGUCUUUCACUGACCAAACCAGCAUCCCUCUACUGGUGGCAUUCGGGUUGGUUACCCUCUAUGGUCUCGUCCUCACCCCUGUCACCAUCAAAUUCUGGAGAACAUCGAGGAAGUCACAAUAUGAAGAUCACGACUACAUAAACAUGAGACUGUUCGGCCGACGGAAGUUCAACGGAGUCCAGCACCCAGUCCACCUAGGAAAACAUUAAUGUGCAACGUCAGCAUGGAAAUGCUUGCGGAAGGCCAUUCCUCCACCCUUAGGGAAGCAUCAGUAACCUGUACAAGCCUCAUGUCAUGCACAAACUGACAAAAAUCUAGUUUGGCUCCUGGGGAGUAUGUGGUCUAGUGACAAACCAGGGUAAGUUAACGCAGAAUACGUGGUAAACCUCCUAAUAGAGGAGCCCUAUGCCUUUGUUUUGCUUGGAAUAUGAAGCUUCUAUUGGAAGGUUUAGGCUACCUACUCUGAGUUACUCUGAGGUUUGUCACUAAACCACGUUCUUGGAAUACCCGCCUGGUGCGACUGUGGUGUGUUGAUAUGAUUCUGUGGGCGAGUCUGCUCCAUUAGAGUCAUCAAAAAUGGCCUUAACAAUCCACUGAGCUCACUUACCUGUGAAUCAAGUAUGGGUUCUGAUUCAAAAUAAUGACUGUUCCUGAGAAUAAAAGCCUAAUGUGUAGGUAAGGAAUAGGCCUA